GAUGAACGCUGGCGGCGUGCUUAACACAUGCAAGUCGAACGGUGAAGGCGGAGCUUGCUCUGCUGGAUCAGUGGCGAACGGGUGAGUAACCCGUGAGCAAUCUGCCCCUGACUCUGGGAUAAGCGCUGGAAACGGCGUCUAAUACUGGAUACGAGCUGCUCAGGCAUCUUCAGCAGCUGGAAAGAACUUCGGUCAGGGAUGAGCUCGCGGCCUAUCAGCUUGUUGGUGAGGUAACGGCUCACCAAGGCGUCGACGGGUAGCCGGCCUGAGAGGGUGACCGGCCGCACUGGGACUGAGACACGGCCCAGACUCCUACGGGAGGCAGCAGUGGGGAAUAUUGCACAAUGGGCGGAAGCCUGAUGCAGCAACGCCGCGUGGGGGACGACGGCCGUCGGGUUGUAAACCUCUUUUAGCAGGGAAGAAGCGAAAGUGACGGUACCUGCAGAAAAAGCGCCGGCUAACUACGUG
rnacentral:rRNA from 1 species